CAGCGAUGCCGCGUGAGUGAAGAAGGCCCUUGGGUUGUAAAACUCUUUCGUCGGGGAAGAAAAUGACUGUACCCGAAUAAGAAGGUCCGGCUAACUUCGUGCCAGCAGCCGCGGUAAUACGAAGGGACCUAGCGUAGUUCGGAAUUACUGGGCUUAAAGAGUUCGUAGGUGGUUAAAAAAGUUGAUGGUGAAAUCCCAAGGCUCAACCUUGGAACUGCCAUCAAAACUUUUUAGCUAGAGUGUGAUAGAGGAAAGUGGAAUUUCUAGUGUAGAGGUGAAAUUCGUAGAUAUUAGAAAGAACAUCAAAAGCGAAGGCAACUUUCUGGAUCAUUACUGACACUGAGGAACGAAAGCAUGGGUAGCGAAGAGGAUUAGAUACCCUCGUAGUCCAUGCCGUAAACGAUGUGUGCUAGACGUUGGAAACUUAGUUUUCAGUGUCGCAGCGAAAGCAUUAAGCACACCGCCUGGGGAGUACGACCGCAAGGUUA
rnacentral:rRNA from 1 species